rnacentral:rRNA from 1 species
AAUCAACGCUGGCGGCGUGCCUAACACAUGCAAGUCGAACGGGAAAGUGGAGCAAUCCAUGGGUAUAGUGGCGACCGGGUGAGUAACACGUGACUAACCUACCUUCAAGUGGGGAGUAACCUCGGGAAACCGGGGCGUAAUACCGCAUAACAUCUCUGUUAUGAGAAAGCAGAGAUCAAAGGAGUAAUUCGCUGGAAGAGGGGGUCGGCGGCUGAUUAGCUAGUUGGUGGGGUAACGGCCCACCAAGGCUUUGAUCGGUAGCCGGCCUGAGAGGGCGCACGGCCACACUGGAACUGAAACACGGUCCAGACUCCUACGGGAGGCAGCAGUGGGGAAUUUUGCGCAAUGGGGGAAACCCUGACGCAGCAACGCCGCGUGGA